rnacentral:misc_RNA from 1 species
GAUGAAGAACGUAGCGAAAUGCGAUAACUAGUGUGAAUUGCAGAAUUCCGUGAAUCAUCGAGUCUUUGAACGCACAUUGCGCCCCCUGGUAUUCCGGGGGGCAUGCCUGUCCGAGCGUCAUUGCUGCCCAUCAAGCACGGCUUGUGUGUUGGGUCGUCGUCCCCCCCUCCGGGGGGGGACGGGCCCUAAAGGCAGCGGCGGCACCGCGUCCGAUCCUCGAGCGUAUGGGGCUUUGUCACCCGCUCUGUAGGCCCGGCCGGCGCUUGCCGAACGCAAAACAACCAUUCUUUCCAGGUUGACCUCGGAUCAGGUAGGGAUACCCGCUGAACUUAAGCAUAUCAAUAAGCGGGA